rnacentral:tRNA from 1 species
GGUUGGUUAGCUCUGUGGUUAGAGCUUAGGUCUUGUGACCGGAAGGUCCCGGGAUCGAAUCCCGUUAGAAGCA